GGAAGCACUCACGGACUCACCGGAAAACAUUCAUAUUGAAAACAUUCCAAAUGUGUCGUCUUGAAUUUCGUCUUGUCACUCUAUUAAUUAAAUUGUCAAUGAUUUCAAUUCAAAGCAAACGUCAAGAAGGAAAAGCAGGAAUUAAUUCUUUGCAGUACUGAGUAUGGAUCGUCCUGUAAACUCAUAUUACUCACCCGUCCCAGACGUUAAUAUUGUGAAUGAAGAUACAAACCAACAAACACCGUUGCUAUAUAGUGUCGAUUCACAAAGCGUUAUCAAAGUAUAUAAGAAACGUUGGUAUAUAUUGGCGAUGUUUUUCUUGCUUUGUGUUGGUCAAGGCAUUUUGUAUAACACUUGGUCUCCGAUACAGAGUACAGCAAGAGCUGUUUAUAAAUGGGAUAGUUUUAUGAUUGAUCUGAUGCCUGCAUUAGGAUGUAUUGGACCAUGUUUUACUAUUGUACCUCUGGGAUGGUUGAUGGAUGUUAAAGGUAUGUAGUAG